AAAUUGAAGAGUUUGAUCAUGGCUCAGAUUGAACGCUGGCGGCAGGCCUAACACAUGCAAGUCGAACGGUAACAGGAAGCAGCUUGCUGCUUUGCUGACGAGUGGCGGACGGGUGAGUAAUGUCUGGGAAACUGCCUGAUGGAGGGGGAUAACUACUGGAAACGGUGGCUAAUACCGCAUAACGUCGCAAGACCAAAGAGGGGGACCUUCGGGCCUCUUGCCAUCAGAUGUGCUGUGC
rnacentral:rRNA from 1 species